rnacentral:rRNA from 1 species
GACGAACGCUGGCGGCGUGCUUAACACAUGCAAGUCGAACGAGUGGCGAACGGGUGAGUAAUACGUGAGUAACCUGCCCUCUUUUUGGGAUAAGCCUUGGAAACGGGGUCUAAUACCGGAUAAAGGGGGAUGGGCUCGCGGCCUAUCAGCGUGUUGGUGGGGUGAUGGCCUACCAAGGCGGUGACGGGUAGCCGGGCUGAGAGGGUGACCGGCCACAGUGGGACUGAGAUACCGCCCAGACUCCUACGGGAGGGAGCAGUGGGGGAGAUUGCAGCAUGGGCGAAAGACUUAUGCAGCGACGCCGCGUGGGGGAUGAAGGCUUUCGGGUUGUAAACCUCUUUCGCAAGCGAACGGGUAGGUGGAGAAGAAGCGCCGGCUAACUACGUGCCAGCAGCCGCGGUAAUUC